rnacentral:rRNA from 1 species
AGAGUUUGAUUCUGGCUCAGGAUGAACGCUAGCGACAGGCUUAACACAUGCAAGUCGAGGGGCAGCGGAGUCGAGAGGCAACUCUUGACUGCCGGCGACCGGCGCACGGGUGAGUAACACGUAUGCAACCUGCCCCCGGCAGGGGGAUAACCCGGAGAAAUCCGGACUAAUAUCCCAUGACGCCCCGAGAGGACAUCCUCUUGGGGCCAAAGGAGGCGACUCCGGCCGGGGCUGGGCAUGCGGCGCAUUAGCCAGUUGGCGGGGCAACGGCCCACCAAGGCUACGAUGCGUAGGGGUUCUGAGAGGAAGGUCCCCCACAUUGGAACUGAGACACGGUCCAAACUCCUACGGGAGGCAGCAGUGAGGAAUAUUGGUCAAUGGCCGCAAGGCUGAACCAGCCAAGUCGCGUGAGGGAAGAAGGCCCUACGGGUUGUAAACCUCUUUUGCCGGGGAGCAAGCUCUGGUACGUGUACCAGAGCGGAGAGUACCCGGAGAAAAAGCAUCGGCUAACCCCGUGCCAGCAGCCGCGGUAAUACGGAGGAUGCGAGCGUUAUCCGGAUUUAUUGGGUUUAAAGGGUGCGUAGGCGGCCUGGAAAGCCAGCGGUCAAAACGGGGUGCUCAACGCCCUGCCGCCGUUGGAACUUUCAGGCUAGAGUGAGCGAGAAGUAAGCGGAAUGCGUGGUGUAGCGGUGAAAUGCAUAGAUAUCACGAAGAACUCCGAUUGCGAAGGCAGCCUCCUGGGGUGUUACCGACGCUCAUGCUCGAAGGCGCGGGUAUCAAACAGGAUUAGAUACCCUGGUAGUCCGCGCAGUAAACGAUGAGUGCUCGCGGUGCGUCCCUUGUGGAUACGCCGCCAAGCGAAAGCGGUUAAGCACUCCACCUGGGGAGUACGCCGGCAACGGUGAAACUCAAAGGAAUUGACGGGGGCCCGCACAAGCGGAGGAACAUGUGGUUUAAUUCGAUGAUACGCGAGGAACCUUACCCGGGCUUGAAAUGUGACAGACGGCAGGCAGAGACGCCUGCUUCCUUCGGGCUGUCAUGUAGGUGCUGCAUGGUUGUCGUCAGCUCGUGCCGUGAGGUGUUGGCUUAAGUGCCAUAACGAGCGCAACCCUUUCCGCCGGUUACCAUCAGGUUAUGCUGGGGACUCCGGCGGCACUGCCGCCGCAAGGCGUGAGGAAGGUGGGGAUGACGUCAAAUCAGCACGGCCCUUACGUCCGGGGCCACACACGUGUUACAAUGGGGGGCACAGCGAGUUGGCGGCCGGUGACGGCCGUCGGAUCAACAAAUCCCCUCCCAGUUCGGAUCGGAGCCUGCAACCCGGCUCCGUGAAGCUGGAUUCGCUAGUAAUCGCGCAUCAGCCAUGGCGCGGUGAAUACGUUCCCGGGCCUUGCACUCACCGCCCGUCA